UACGUAGGGUGCAAGCGUUGUCCGGAAUUAUUGGGCGUAAAAGAGCUCGUAGGCGGUUUUGUCGCGUCUGCUGUGAAAACCCGAGGCUCAACCUCGGGCCGCAGUGGGUACGGGCAGACUAGAGUGCGGUAGGGGGAGAUUGGAAUUCCUGGUGUAGCGGUGGAAUGCGCAGAUAUCAGGAGGAACACCAAUGGCGAAGGCAGGUCACUGGGCCGCAACUGACGCUGAGGAGCGAAAGCAUGGGGAGCGAACAGG
rnacentral:rRNA from 1 species